GAUGAACGCUGGCGGCGUGCUUAACACAUGCAAGUCGAACGAAGCACCUCUCCCGAAGAUUGACACAGCUUGCUGUAGAUUGAUUCAUUUGAGGUGACUGAGUGGCGGACGGGUGAGUAACGCGUGGGUAACCUGCCUCAUAGAGGGGGACAACAGUUGGAAACGACUGCUAAUACCGCAUAGUAAGAAGAAUUCGCAUGUUUUCUUCUUGAAAGAUUUAUCGCUAUGAGAUGGACCCGCGUCUGAUUAGCUAGUUGGUAAGGUAACGGCUUACCAAGGCGACGAUCAGUAGCCGGCUUGAGAGAGUGAACGGCCACAUUGGGACUGAGACACGGCCCAAACUCCUACGGGAGGCAGCAGUGGGGAAUAUUGCACAAUGGGGGAAACCCUGAUGCAGCGACGCCGCGUGAGUGAAGAAGUAUUUCGGUAUGUAAAGCUCUAUCAGCAGGGAAGAUAAUGACGGUACCUGACGAAGAAGCCCCGGCUAACUACGUG
rnacentral:rRNA from 1 species